GCCAGCAUGGCCGAGCGGUUAAGGCGGUAGCUUAAGGUGCUAUUACGGAAACGUGCGUGGGUUCGAAUCCCACUGCUGGUA
rnacentral:tRNA from 1 species